ACGAACGCUGGCGGCGUGCCUAACACAUGCAAGUCGAGCGGAGACAGUGAGUAGCUUGCUAUGAGCUGUUUUAGCGGCGGACGGGUGAGUAACGCGUGAGCAACCUUUCCCAGACAGGGGAAUAACACACCGAAAGGUGUACUAAUACCGCAUAAGACCACGGAAUCACAUGGUUCUGAGGUAAAAGAUUUAUCGGUUUGGGGUGGGCUCGCGUCCGAUUAGGUAGUUGGUGAGGUAACGGCCCACCAAGCCGACGAUCGGUAGCCGACCUGAGAGGGUGAUCGGCCACAUUGGGACUGAGACACGGCCCAAACUCCUACGGGAGGCAGCAGUGGGGAAUAUUGGGCAAUGGAGGAAACUCUGACCCAGCAACGCCGCGUGGAGGAAGAAGGUUUUCGGAUCGUAAACUCCUGUCCUUGGAGACGAGUAGAAGACGGUAUCCAAGGAGGAAGCCCCGGCUAACUACGUGCCAGCAGCCGCGGUAAUACGUAGGGGGCAAGCGUUGUCCGGAAUAAUUGGGCGUAAAGGGCGCGUAGGCGGCUCGGUAAGUCUGGAGUGAAAGUCCUGCUUUUAAGGUGGGAAUUGCUUUGGAUACUGUCGGGCUUGAGUGCAGGAGAGGUUAGUGGAAUUCCCAGUGUAGCGGUGAAAUGCGUAGAGAUUGGGAGGAACACCAGUGGCGAAGGCGACUAACUGGACUGUAACUGACGCUGAGGCGCGAAAGUGUGGGGAGCAAACAGGAUUAGAUACCCUGGUAGUCCACACUGUAAACGAUGAAUGCUAGGUGUAGGGGGUAUCGACCCCUUCUGUGCCGCAGUCAACACAAUAAGCAUUCCGCCUGGGGAGUACGGCCGCAAGGUUGAAACUCAAAGAAAUUGACGGGGGCCCGCACAAGCAGCGGAGCAUGUGGUUUAAUUCGACGCAACGCGAAGAACCUUACCAAGUCUUGACAUCCCUCUGACCGACUCUUAACCGAGUCUUUCCUUCGGGACAGAGGAGACAGGUGGUGCAUGGUUGUCGUCAGCUCGUGUCGUGAGAUGUUGGGUUAAGUCCCGCAACGAGCGCAACCCUUAUCUUCAGUUACUAACGCGUGAAGGUGAGGACUCUGAAGAGACUGCCGGGGACAACUCGGAGGAAGGUGGGGACGACGUCAAAUCAUCAUGCCCCUUAUGACCUGGGCUACACACGUGCUACAAUGGCCACGACAGAGAGAAGCGAAAUCGCAAGGUAGAGCGGAACUCAAAAAAGUGGUCCCAGUUCGGAUUGUGGGCUGCAACCCGCCCACAUGAAGUCGGAAUCGCUAGUAAUCGCGGAUCAGCAUGCCGCGGUGAAUACGUUCCCGGGCCUUGUACACACCGCCCGUCACACCAUGAGAGUCGGGAACACCCGAAGUCCGUAGCCUAACCGUAAGGAGGGCGCGGCCGAAGGUGGGUUCGAUAAUUGGGGUG
rnacentral:rRNA from 1 species